rnacentral:lncRNA from 1 species
GUUCUAAUACGAAUAAAUCAAAUGGUAAAGUUAUUACGAUUAAACAGAUUUGGAUUCCAAAAGGAACCAUAUGCACUAACCCUCAAGGACCCAAGCAAGCUUGGGUACCCAAAAUGAAAAUAUGAGGGUGUAGAUGUAGGUGUGCCAAGCUACCCAUGAAACAAAUGAAAUUGUCAUACAAAUGGGUGCGUUGACACAUAAUUAAAGAUAAGUCUCAAUUUAUUUAUUAAAUUUAGUAUAAGGUUUAACAUUCUACUUCAUGUAUUGAAAUUAUCUUUUUAUGAAAUUACGAUACUCUCUGCAUCAAAGUUUUUAAAUGCCUCAUAUGUUAAAUCUUAUCUCAACGAUUUUAGCAUGAAACUUUCUAGUGCUUGCAUCAUGAUAAGAAAACAAUGAAUGGAUAUAUAUAUAACCUUCUUCUUCAAGUUUACAAAAUCUAAAUUCCCUCUCUAGUAUGAACACUUGAUGCUGAUUUCAUACUUUCAUGUUAAAACUUUAUUGAGCAUAAUACUUAUGAAAUCUUAUUUCAUUAUUUGUGAAGGUAUGAGUAUAAUUUAUCAUUAU